GCCGGGUGCGGUGGUGUGUGCCUGCAGUCCCAGCUACUCGGGAGGGUGAGGUGGGAGGAUCACUUGAGCCCAGGAGUUCUGGGCUGUAGUGCACUAUGCUGAUCAGGUGUCCACACUAAGUUCGGCAUCAAUAUGGUGACCUCCCAGGAGCGGGGGACCACCAGGUUGCCUAAGGAGGGGUGAACCAGCCCAGGUCAGAAAUGGAGCAGGUCAAAACUCCUGUGCUGAUCAGUAGUGGGAUCGCGGCUGUGAAUAGCCACUGCACUCCAUGGUAAAACCCCUGUCUCUU
ensembl:misc_RNA Metazoa_SRP Metazoan signal recognition particle RNA